GAGGCAAAAUGUCGAGUUACUUUAUUUGUAGCGGAAAUUUGUUUACAUUUCGCGCGUUCGCAUUGUGAUCCGUUAAUAAUAGUUGACGGCAGUGCGCCGUCGCAGUAGUCGUAAACUCCUGCAACACAACUAAAUUAAAACGCCAACGAAAUAAUUGGUGAAAACUGCGGCGAACAGUUGUACGCUUCGAAAUGCCGCGCGCGAACGGCCCGAAGGCGUCGCAGAGCGGCGGUUGUAUAAUCCUUUUCGCCGCACUUCUUGUAAUUAUGGUCGGUUUCAGUCUCGGCUAUUUCGCAAUGCGAAAAACGCGCGUGCCCGACGUGGAAAACGAAAAUUACACCCGAUCAGACAGCUUAGAUAACAGCAUUUAACAAUUAAAACCAAAAAAGAGUUUCGAGAUUCGGCAGAUGCCAAAGUGAAAUUGCACUUUCCCAGAAAUAAUUCGACGGAAAUGUUUUAUGCUCGCACGUUUCGAUUUGCGGGUGUAAUAAUCGUCCGCACCGACGUAAAAAAUGAGUUGUCGCCGUGGCAAAUAUUGUAGUUUUUGGCACUGGCGAGAAUAACCGAAAUAUUUUAGCGUUAUAGUGUGAGUCGAAUGCAAAUAAUUGCAGGCAAACACGAUAAUUUCGCAAGUUUCUUUUAGUUUUGCUUGAUUAAAUAAUGGUCUUGACAUCUAGUUGAAAGCAAACAGAUUUUGGUGCGUUGAAGCGUUGUCAAAAAUAUUUUUUGUAUAAAAAUGAUUGUUUCCUAUUAAUAUAAUUAAAAUUAUGUAUAUUUUUGUAUAUUUUUCUGUAUAUUAUCAAAAGAAAGCGAAUGUUUAACAUAUUUACGCCAAUUUUAUGCAUUUUCUUGAAAUUAAAGAAUUAAUGUCUUAUUA